AACGAACGCUGGCGGCAGGCUUAACACAUGCAAGUCGAGCGCCCCGCAAGGGGAGCGGCAGACGGGUGAGUAACGCGUGGGAAUCUACCCAUCUCUACGGAAUAACGCAUGGAAACGUGUGCUAAUACCGUAUACGUCCUUCGGGAGAAAGAUUUAUCGGAGAUGGAUGAGCCCGCGUUGGAUUAGCUAGUUGGUGGGGUAAAGGCCUACCAAGGCGACGAUCCAUAGCUGGUCGGAGAGGAUGAUCAGCCACACUGGGACUGAGACACGGCCCAGACUCCGACGGGAGGCAGCAGUGGGGAAUAUUGGACAAUGGGCGCAAGCCUGAUCCAGCCAUGCCGCGUGAGUGAUGAAGGCCCUAGGGUUGUAAAGCUCUUUCACCGGUGAAGAUAAUGACGGUAACCGGAGAAGAAGCCCCGGCUAACUGCGUGCCAGCCGCCGCAGUAACAC
rnacentral:rRNA from 1 species